UACGUAGGUGGCAAGCGUUGUCCGGAAUUAUUGGGCGUAAAGCGCGCGCAGGCGGUCCUUUAAGUCUGAUGUGAAAGCCCACGGCUCAACCGUGGAAGGUCAUUGGAAACUGGGGGACUUGAGUACAGAAGAGGAGAGCGGAAUUCCACGUGUAGCGGUGAAAUGCGUAGAGAUGUGGAGGAACACCAGUGGCGAAGGCGGCUUUCUGGUCUGUAACUGACGCUGAGGCGCGAAAGCGUGGGGAGCAAACAGG
rnacentral:rRNA from 1 species